rnacentral:rRNA from 1 species
AGAGUUUGAUCAUGGCUCAGAAUGAACGUUGGCGGCGUGGAUUAGGCAUGAAAGUCGAGCGAGAGGAGUUUGGUAGCUUGCUAUUGGACUCUGAAAGCGGCGAAAGGGAGAGUAACGCGUAGUUACGUGCCCCAGGGUUCGGAAUAGCCACGGGAAACUGUGGGUAAUGCCGAAUAACAUCUCCGGAUCAAAGGUGUGAUUCCGCCCUGGGAGCGGACUGCGUCCUACUAGCUUGUUGGCGGGGUAAUGGCCCACCAAGGCAACAAUGGGUAGCGGGUGUGAGAGCAUGACCCGUCUCACUGGGACUGAGACACUGCCCAGACACCUACGGGUGGCUGCAGUCGAGAAUCUUCGGCAAUGGGCGAAAGCCUGACCGAGCGACGCCGCGUGCGCGACGAAGGCCUUCGGGUUGUAAAGCGCUUUGGUGGGGGAGGAAGGCGCAAGCUUGACCUAUCCCAAGAACAAGCACGGGCUAAGUUCGUGCCAGCCGCCGCGGUAAUUC